ACGAACGCUGGCGGCGUGCUUAACCCCUGCAAGUCGCACGGAAAGGCCCUGCUUUUGUGGGGUGCUCGAGUGGCGAACGGGUGAGUAACACGUGAGUAACCUGCCCUUGACUUUGGGAUAACUUCAGGAAACUGGGGCUAAUACCGGAUAGGAGCUCCUGCUGCAUGGUGGGGGUUGGAAAGUUUCGGCGGUUGGGGAUGGACUCGCGGCUUAUCGGCUUGUUGGUGGGGUAGUGGCUUACCAAGGCUUUGACGGGUAGCCGGCCUGAGAGGGUGACCGGCCACAUUGGGACUGAGAUACGGCCCAGACUCCUACGGGAGGCAGCAGUGGGGAAUAUUGCACAAUGGGCGGAAGCCUGAUGCAGCAACGCCGCGUGCGGGAUGACGGCCUUCGGGUUGUAAACCGCUUUCGCCUGUGACGAAGCGUGAGUGACGGUAAUGGGUAAAGAAGCACCGGCUAACUACGUG
rnacentral:rRNA from 1 species